AACAUCGCGCACCUGCGGGAACCUGCGGAAGGAUCGUUAAUGAUUGGUGGCUGUUGCUGACUAGUGUUUCUAGUAUGUGCACGCCACACCUUCAAUCCCACUUACACCUGUGCACCUUCUGUAAUAGAUCUAUGUGGAUACGGAGAUAUGAAAGUUUGCGCUCUCGUACUCUGUUGAAGCAGUCUACUACGUUUUUUUACACACACACAAUAGUCAUUGAAUGUAUUUUUUAUUCUUAUG
rnacentral:misc_RNA from 1 species